CAGUAGCCGCGGUAAUACGGAUGGUGCAAGCGUUAUCCGGAUUCACUGGGUUUAAAGGGUGCGUAGGCGGGCAGGUAAGUCAGUGGUGAAAUCUUCGAGCUUAACUCGGAAACUGCCGUUGAUACUAUCUGUCUUGAAUAACGUUGAGGUGAGCGGAAUAUGUCAUGUAGCGGUGAAAUGCUUAGAUAUGACAUAGAACACCGAUUGCGAAGGCAGCUCACUAAACGCUCAUUGACGCUGAGGCACGAAAGCGUGGGGAUCAAACAGGAUUAGAUACCCGCGUAGUCCCUGUCUCUUAUAC
rnacentral:rRNA from 1 species